UUGAAAAUGACAUCAUUCCUGCCGCCCCAGAUGACCCAAAUUAUUACACACCACACCAUUUUCCACACCAAACCAUUACUAAGAGAAGAGGCAAUAUCGAUCCAAGAAAGAAAACAAAUCAAAGGGUCAUAAUGAACCACCUACUGAAUAUACUACAAACAGCACCAUUGCUACCACAACAACCAUGAUUUAAAACAGUUAAAAAAAAGGUGAUUCACAAGUACAAGGCUACUACGACAUAGCAAGCACAUGGCAGACUUCGGGGAGAUAAAACCCUUACUUGCCAACACCUCUUUGACAGCCAAUCUAUCUCUUAGAAUCUGCCAGCAAAGGAUCUCGAUCUUGAGAGGGGAAAGACCCGACCAAACAAGCUUCCAAUGGCUGGUUGAAGAAAUGCUGAAAAAGACUUACCAUCUGAAAGAAUGAGAGAAGUAGUUACUGCUUGGAUGCCCUUUCCAUGUCAGUUUUUCUUGGAAAUCCUUGCUAAUAAAACAAUCAUGAAUAAGUUGUUGAAAGCUAUCCCAUUGUUCCUUUUCCCAGUUGAAGACAUCUCGGUGAAACUCAAUAUUCCAGGACCAAUCGUCACUAGUCCAGCUGUCAAAAUCGCUAACAUAGCCUAACUUUUUCACCACUAGUGCAUAAAUCCUAGGGAAGACACUCCUUAGAGUAAAACCACCAACCUAGACAUCAUCCCAAAAGCGAAUCCGAUUACCACAACCCAAAAAGAGUCUCAUACC
rnacentral:lncRNA from 1 species